rnacentral:rRNA from 1 species
UUAGGAGGAGGACCAGGCAAAUCCGGGCCUCACAUACUCUGAGACGUGAUACCAAGCCGCUUCAGGCGAAGUCAUUAAUCCUAUGCUGCCUAGAAAAGCCCAGUAGCGAGUUGACAUGGUGCCCGUACCCCAAACCAACACAGGUGGACAGGUAGAGCAUACCAAGGCGAGUGGGAUAACUAUGGUUAAGGAACUCGGCAAAUUUCCUCCGUAACUUCGGGAUAAGGAGGACCCCGGUAGCGUGACGAGACUUGCUCUCCGAGCGUGAAGGGGUGGCACAAAAUUGAGGGAAGCGACUGUUUACCAAAAACACAGCAGCGUGCUAAGCCGUAAGGCGCUGUAUACGCUGUGACUCCUGCCCGGUGCUGGAAGGUUACGGGGAUGGGUUAGUCCUUCGGGACGAAGCUCUGAACCUAAGCCCCAGUAAACGGCGGCCGUAACUAUAACGGUCCUAAGGUAGCGAAAUUCCUUGUCGGGUAAGUUCCGACCUGCACGAAUGGAGUAACGACUUCCCUACUGUCUCAACCAUAGACCCAGCGAAAUUGAAGUACGAGUAAAGAUGCUCGUUAGCUGCAGAAGGACGGAAAGACCCCGUGGACCUUUACUAUAACUUGAUGUUGUGUUUUGUCAUAUGUUGUGUAGGAUAGGUGGGAGACAAGGAAGCAUGGACGCUAGUCUGUGUGGAGUCAUCGUUGAAAUACCACCCUGCAUAUGGUGAGGCUCUAACCUAGACCCGUUAUCCGGGUUGGGGACAGCGUCAGGCGGGUAGUUUAACUGGGGCGGUUGCCUCCUAAAGAGUAACGGAGGCGCCCAAAGGUUCCCUCAGCCUGGUUGGCAAUCAGGCGUCGAGUGCAAUGGCAAAAGGGAGCUUGACUGCGAGACCUACAAGUCGAGCAGGAGCGAAAGCUGGGCAUAGUGAUCCGGCGGUUGCGUGUGGAAGCGCCGUCGUUCAACGGAUAAAAGGUACCCCGGGGAUAACAGGCUAAUCUUGCCCAAGCGUCCAUAGCGACGGCAAGGUUUGGCACCUCGAUGUCGGCUCAUCGCAUCCUGGGGCUGAAGCAGGUCCCAAGGGUUGGGCUGUUCGCCCAUUAAAGCGGUACGCGAGCUGGGUUCAGAACGUCGUGAGACAGUUCGGUCCCUAUCCUCUGUAGCCGUAGGUGAAUUGAGGAAAGCUGUCCCUAGUACGAGAGGACCGGGACGGACGCAGCUCUCUGUUGCC